rnacentral:lncRNA from 1 species
UUUGCUAAUAAGACAAAAAUAGAAAGUCAUUUUCAUGAAGGAAACAUGAAAACACUGGGGAAAUAAGUGAUGCGAACAUUAUGCGUACACAGCAUCUCAUCUGGGUUUCCUGAUGAGGGAAUUUUAAAUUUUUAAAAGAAGCAAGUCUUCUCUGAACUUCAAAAAUUCCUCUGGAAGUUUUACCAACGUCGCAAAAAGAUUUGAAGAACUAAGAAAGAUGAGACACAUGAGAAAUAAGAAAGAAAACUCAGGUGGCCAGCGCUAUGGGAAAGGAGGCCAGGUCCCUGAGAGGACUGAUAAUGUGGUGGACUAGAGGACAGCUGGUGGAUUUAAUGCAGGAGGAAUCGAGGGUACCUGUGGAGAGGGAAGAUACAACUUUCAGGUUUGCAACCAGUCUGGCAAUUAUUUUUAUAUGGCAUAAGGAACAGAUUUCUCACUACUGGAAUGGAAGAUUAAAGAUAAGCAAGAGGAAGAAGCUAGAAUAAUCUAUGCAGUAAUGGAUUAGAGUUGGAAACAUCAGUAUGAACUUGUGUUUGGAUUAAUACCAAUACAGGCACAAGACCAUUCCUGUAAUCAACUUAACCUACUCUCCACUUCUUCAAAAAACUGGAUGGCAAGUUGAAGAAUCACAUCCUUGGAGAUAUUGUUGGUCAAUACAGCAGAGAUACCGUCUCCUGGGAAGAGACAAGCGCAGCAGUCCUCCAUCUUGUAUCUACUGACAUGAACAAGAUUUUUUUUCUUACUUAGUCAAAGCUACACUGGUGAGAAACAUGUGAGUUGCAGAUUUCUUCACCCAUCACAGAACAAAACCUCCUACAGUCUUUCCUGAGACAGUUGGACUAUGGAGUUUUCCAGAGUACAUCCAAGUCUUAAACCUGGUAAAGAAUUUGGUGUGAGC